rnacentral:misc_RNA from 1 species
UCGAAACCUGCCCAGCAGAACGACCCGAGAACAUGUUUCAACGCUUGGGGGCGAUGGGUCUUACGGCUCCUCGUCCCUUUUCUCGAGAGGCAAUCGUCUUGUGUGUUGCAUCUCGAUGCUCGCACUAGAAGUACCCUCUUGGGCGUACAAACGAACACCGGCGUGAAUUGCGCCAAGGAACUUGAAUGAAAGAGCGUUCCCCUGUCGUCCCGGAAACGGUGUGCGUCUGGUUGGUUACGUCAUCUUCAAUAUGUC